rnacentral:rRNA from 1 species
GUUCCAGCAGCCGCGGUAAUACAGAGGGUGCGAGCGUUGUCCGGAAUCACUGGGCGUAAAGGGCGCGUAGGUGGCGACCCAAGUCCGUGGUGAAAGCUCGCCGCUCAACGGCGAGUCGGCCACGGAGACUGGGUGGCUCGAGCACUGUAGGGGCAGAUGGAAUUCCGGGUGUAGCGGUGGAAUGCGUAGAGAUCCGGAAGAACACCAGUGGCGAAGGCGGUCUGCUGGGCAGUUGCUGACACUGAGGCGCGACAGCGUGGGGAGCAAACAGGAUUAGAUACCCCAGUAGUCC